AUUUUAAAGUAUGUCUCAUGCAAUAUUUGGGACAUACUUAUGCUAAAA
rnacentral:miRNA from 1 species